rnacentral:sRNA from 1 species
CAGCGAAUGCCAAAACGUCACACACACACCGGCACAUGCGCCUGGGUGUCUCUUCCCGCGUUAUCGCAGGCUGGGAUUGGUGCAUGGGGUGUGUGGAGGAUAUAAC